GAGGGUAUAGCUCAGUGGUUGAGUGUGCGCUUAGCACGCACGAAGUCCUGGAUUCAAUCCCCACUACCUUCG
rfam:Camelus ferus unplaced genomic scaffold scaffold1310, whole genome shotgun sequence.